GACGAACGCUGGCGGCGUGCUUAACACAUGCAAGUCGAACGGAAAGGCCCUGCUUUUGCGGGGUGCUCGAGUGGCGAACGGGUGAGUAACACGCGAGUAACCUGCCCUUGACUUAGGGAUAACUCCAGGAAACUGGGGCGAAUAUCGGAUAGGAGCUCCUGCUGCACGGUGGGGGUUGGAAAGUUUCGGCGGUUGGGGAUGGACUCGCGGCUUACCAGCUUGUUGGUGGGGUAGUGGCUUACCAAGGCUUUGACGGGUAGCCGGCCUGAGAGGGGGGCCGGCCUCAUUGGGCCUGAGAUACGGACCAGACGGCUACGGGAGGCAGCAGUGGGGAAUAUUGCACAAUGGGCGGGAGCCUGAUGCAGCAACGCCGCGUGCGGGAUGACGGCCUUCGGGUUGUAAACCGCUUUCGCCUGUGACGAAGCGUGAGUGACGGUAAUGGGUAAGGAAGCACCGGCUAACUACGUG
rnacentral:rRNA from 1 species